rnacentral:rRNA from 1 species
AAGCGGUGGAGCAUGUGGUUUAAUUCGAUGCAACGCGAAGAACCUUACCUGGGCUUGACAUCCCGGGAAUCCCUUGGAAACAAGGGAGUGCCCUUCGGGGAACCUGGAGACAGGUGCUGCAUGGCUGUCGUCAGCUCGUGUCGUGAGAUGUAGGGUUAAGUCCCGCAACGAGCGCAACCCUUGUCUUUAAUUGCCAUCAUUGAGUUGGGCACUUUAAAGAGACUGCCGGUGUUAAACCGGAGGAAGGUGGGGAUGACGUCAAGUCCUCAUGGCCUUUAUGCCCAGGGCUACACACGUGCUACAAUGGGUGGUACAAAGAGCAGCCAGCUCGCGAGAGUGAGCAAAUCUCAAAAAAGCCAUCCUCAGUUCGGAUUGGGGUCUGCAACUCGACCCCAUGAAGUCGGAGUCGCUAGUAAUCGCAGAUCAGCAACGCUGCGGUGAAUACGUUCCCGGGCCUU